AAUCGGAUCCUAUAACACCCUUCUUUUUUUCUCAUUCAGCUUCUCACUCUUCAUAUUUUCUCUGAAACCCUAACUACACUCUCUCCCUUUUCUCUAUAACCCAAACUACAGCCGCCUUCACCAAUCUUCCUAUCAUCAUCAAGGGUUUUAGUUUCUCAAAUCAUCCAAAUCUCCGAUUCAAGUCUCCGGUUAUUAUCAUCGAGGUAUCAUCGAGAUUCUGGUUAUUAGUCUCAGAGGUUGAUGUAUGGAGUGUUUGAGCUGUCACAUUUUGAUUUGUGGUGGUUCGUCGUUUUGGGCAGGGCUAAGCAACCAUCCGCUCUCCUUUCGUCCUAAUGUAAAUCCCAACACCAAGAUCUUUACUCUUGUGAAGUCCCUGUUUUCUUAGUGUUAUGGGUCAGUUUGCAUAUUUAGAGGAACAAAGUGGGAAAAUGGGCCUAUUGUGCCUUCAGAAAGCAAGUAUGUUUCCAUCUCGAGGUAAGAUAUUGAAGUUUUUGGUCCUGUUCCCGGUGAAAUGGGUCAAACAAGACGUUUUUAAUAGCGGUGCAUUGGACUGGGUUGUGUUAACCUAAUUCACUUUGUUGAACGUUUGUAAUAUACAUUGGUAAAGAAUUAAAUAUGAUAACAAAAAUUUAUAUUAUUAUGAUAUAAUAUAAGUUUUCAACUAUAUCAACUAAAGGCUAUAUGCAUUCAGAUAUACUACAACAGACUUUCAACCUUGCAACCCAUAUGAGGUUUUCCAACUUUUCAUUUUCAUUAAGUUGUUUGUUUAGUUUGUUUAUGUGGCUACCAAAUUUUAUCCGAAACAAAAAGUAACCAAAUUUAAUAGGCUAUUAGCUCUUUUCUUUAAUGGGGACAUAUAUAGAUGGUUAAGGGGUGUUUGGAUGUGUCUUUAAAAAGUUAUUAUCAUGUUGAUGUUAAAAAAAUAAAUAAAUGAUACUACAGAUAAAGUUUUUGCAUCAUCUGCAAGGUUAGUGAAUCUGGGACUCAUAACCAUAAUGAGACAUUUAAUAAAGUGAAAGUCAACGUUGUUAUUGUUAAGGCUUCUAUGAAUGGGAAAAUCAAAACAUUCACUAAAACAUUUGUUUCAACCUAACCUAAGGCCAAAGUGGUUAGGAGUUAUGUUAUUACCAAAUAGUAGAUCCCUCUCAUUGAUAAGCUUAAACCAGUUGGGAGUUAAGUGUUAGGGGCAGUUGAUCUGAAUAAGUAAGUGGUGUUCAGUUCUAAGGUUGUUGUAGGCAAGGGACAUACUUAGGCUGGAGCUAAAGGUUCUUAUGAUUCCUUUGUGUUUGGUCAAGCUACUUCUUCUCUUACUGAGGUUGUUGAAUUCAUACCACCUAAAAUUUUAGAAAAUGGUGAAAAAAGUUGUUAUAGCCACUGAAGUUAUUAAAGUGACUAAGGACAUUUUGAAAGCCGAUACAAUGCACCACUGUCAUUCCACUGCAUUGGGUCGGGCAGUGCAUUGCCUCAAAUUCGCCGGUCCACUGUAGUCAGCAUCCCGUCUGUCACAUCGCGCAACCGCAGUUAGCCAUCUCGCUUCAGGCGAAGGUGCGAGUAGCGAUGUUGGUCAGUGGUGGUACAAGGGACAAAUGGCGACGACGGCUUCUACUCUUUCUUUGGGUAUGUUCUACAAAGGAAGAUAGUGAGAAGACGGGUAUGGUGACAUCAGUAGGGAUGUAUUUUCUGCAUUUUCAAGUAUACAUAAUGAAUUUAACUGUUAAUGGCGUAGGCUUUCGUCGACAACUUUAAUACUUUCCGGCUUUGGCACAGUCCCAAAAAGUGACCAACACAUACAUCCAACAAAAACAUAACGCUUUGGCACAGUCCCAAAAAGUGACCAACACAUACAUCCAACAAAAACAUAACGUUGGUUUUAGCUAUUAAGCGAGGAAAUGAAGAGGAGCAAAAUUCAUACUAAAAGCAACAAGAGGCAUAUGCUCCUUAUGUUGGUUUAUUGCCGCAUGAUAAAAUGGUCAUUAUUGUUAUGCAUACGGCCAAUGAGGCAUGAUUUGCAUGUGAGUGUGGUUUAAGCAGCUAUUCAAGAGUUUUUAUUAUUUUUUUAUUUGUUACUAAUAUAUUUUCUUUCAUAUCAUUUAUUUACAAUAGGUUUAGUGUUAUUGGAUUGUAUGAUAUGAUUCAAGUUGAGCAUAUUUCAUUAGGUGUUAGGUGAUGAUUGUUUUUUUCAAUUGGUCAAAAACGAAUGCGAAGUUAUUGGUUACGAAGCUUCAAAAAGCAGAAGUAUUAGUUAA